rnacentral:rRNA from 1 species
GACCCGGAAAGGGUGGCUAAUACCGCAUGUGAUCUUCGGAUUAAAGCUUCGGUCGGGUUUGGGAAUGGCCUGCGUUCGAUUAGCUAGUUGGUGAGGUAAAGGCUCACCAAGGCGACGAUCGAUAACUGGUCUGAGAGGAUGAUCAGUCUGACUGGAACUGAGACACGGUCCAGACUCCUACGGGAGGCAGCAGUAGGGAAUUUUCCACAAUGGGCGAAAGCCUGAUGGAGCAACGCCGCGUGCAGGAUGAAGGCCCUUGGGUCGUAAACUGCUUUUAUGUGAGAAGAAUAUGACGGUAACACAUGAAUAAGGGUCGGCUAACUACGUG